UGAACCGUUUCUAGUUCAGUUCGUAGAUGAAAGUUUAGUGAGUGUAUUGUCCGAAUUUUAUGCCUGUUUCUAAUUAUUCAAGCCACGUUUUAAAUUAAAUUGCAUUGUUUUGAUUGUAUUUUCUUGCUUCUCUUUGUUGGAGGUUAUUUUGAAUAAAUGAAAUGAAAUAAAAAUCAGUUUUUCUGAAUAACUGAAAUCUUGCCGGGAAUGGGGCUUUAAAUUCCUUUAAGGAAGCAAGCUUAAAGGGGGUGGGGGGAAUGACAGAAGUCGCCAUAUUGUUUAUUUAAUCUUUGGUGAGUAAAAAAUACUGGGGAAUAGAACAAAAAUGUUGUGAUGUAACGAUAAUUAUAGAAACACCAGGGAUACCAUGGAACAGUGAGUGAGACAUGAAAAUCAGAUGAAAACGCGGCUGGUUAUUGUUGAGUGUAUUAACUGGGAAGCAAUUUUCUAACGAACUCAUUAAUCAUGAUCAGGCUGUCAAUUUUGGCGAGCAGCUGAUCGAGGAUCGGAAUCGUCCCGACGAUGAUCGAACGUCUAUAAAUAGACAACUAUUGUGUGAAGUCGUGAGUUUUUGUGAUCGUUUACGUACGCCAGUAACAAAGAGAGGGUUUAGUCGAUGUCAAUCAAUUCAAUCAUGGAGGAAUAAUUCAAUUGAAUUAAUAAACGUAUAUCAGUCCUAUGAAAUGACUUGUUUAUCUAUAAUUAGGCCUACACCUAGGCCUAUGCCUAAGAUUAACACACUCACAGUCAAUGUCAACCCAGCAGCAGUAGCAGCACUCCACCAGUCCGGGAAACCUCUUCAGUCCCGCAGCAGGUAAUGUCAAUCGCCAUGAUGAGACAAGAAUACCCCAACAUUUGCUAUGAGUACAGUCACCCAACAUUGGCAUCUAACUAAAAGUGUACGAAAGAGGUGGUACAAAGCAUACAAGCAUCCAGCAAGACCUUGGCAAGAAACACUCUGGUUGUUUGCUGAAACUUAAUGGAAGCUACAGUACACACAAUUUAAGGAGCGAAUAACAGGCUUGAAUGGAUUUGAUGCAAACAGUUCCAUCUGUGUGGACAUGAUGAAGUGGACUUAGCAGAAGGUGGCGAUGCUCAGAACUCUGCAGCAAGUGAUUGAGGCCGAAAUAUUUCAAAAGAAUUGAAUUUAAAUGAUUUAUUCUAGUGAUUUUUUUUUCCUAAAGAUACAUUACUGAAAUGCCACACACUUAGUUUUUGUUUUUUACGCAUCUGGUUUAUAUUGCAGCACUGUAUUACAAUGUGCAUGCUAAAUUUAUAAUAAAUAAAUAAAUAAUACUGUACCAGUUUUACUGUACCUGUUUAUUUUUAGAAGUUGUGUUAUUUGCAAAAUAUCUUUAAUGUUAAUAAAUGGUAUUGUAAGUGUUGUAAUUUCUUCUUUUAAAACAGUGUAAUCCCAUUCAAUAGUAAUCCUUUUGAAGCAAAUGUGUGACCCAGAAUUAUAAAACAACUUGUGAGGAUUACUUUUGAAAUAGAUAAUGUGCGAAGUUGAUAAUACAGUAUGAAAAUGUGGCUGAAUAUAUACAGGAACAACUAUUUUAAUAUAUGGUGUAAAGUUAUUCUAUGAAUUUGGUUAUUUUUUAAUGGCUGGAUUAUGCCUAU